UACGGAGGGUGCGAGCGUUAAUCGGAAUUACUGGGCGUAAAGGGCGCGUAGGCGGUGAAGUAAGUCGGGUGUGAAAGCCCCGGGCUCAACCUGGGAACUGCAUCCGAUACUGCUUCGCUAGAGUAUGGGAGAGGGAAGUGGAAUUUCAGGUGCAGCGGUGAAAUGCGUAGAUAUCUGAAGGAACAUCAGUGGCGAAAGCGACUUCCUGGACCAAUACUGACGCUCAUGUGCGAAAGCGUGGGGAGCAAACAGG
rnacentral:rRNA from 1 species